CUUAUUAUAUAUAGAGAGAGAAAGAGAGAGAGAGAGAUAGGAAUCAACAAUAAUUUAAUCAAUAGAUUGAACUCAGAAUAUAUUUCUUCGACAGUUCUUGAAUUAUUUGUCGAGGAUCAAUCAAAAACAAUCCAUCUCUCUGUAGCUGGUUAAAAAAUAUAAGGGUAACUAGUCAUGAGAAUCUUCGACUUGAGGACACAACCUACUAUCACAGAUGGCACUGACACAGGUAUCGAGUAAUUUUUGUUGCGUUCGUUUAAGGGUUGAUCAAGAUAAAUACAUAGACAUACAUCAUUUUCCUCUAUCAGAAUGGUCUCGUGAAGUUGUUCACGAAUCAAAGUGUGAAUGCACUUUCAAAGUCUUUCACGCUCUUUUUGAUCGAAAGCAGGGUGAGCAAAUUAUGUAUUUUGUUUGUGUGUUCUAUCCUUUUCCCUCUAUUUUUUUCUUCACAAUUUUGUCUACAUCCACUAGAAAUUAAUUUAUGACUUGAGGUACAUUACGUUCGUCAAGGGUUGCUCAAGACUUCAUGAGCAAUAAAGUCGUCAUUUUUUUCUUUCAUAAUGUUUUCGUAAAAUUGUUCAGUAUGAAUUUUACUUUUGAAAUAUUGUACGCUUUUUUUGAUCGGAAACAGGGUGGGCAAAUUAUGUAUUUUAUUUGUGUGUUAUACACUUUUUUCUUUGUAUUAUUUUUUCACAAUUUUAAUUUGUCUACAUCCCCUAGAAAUUAAUCAAAGGUAUGUAAUUUUGUUAUUCAUUUCACACAUUUUAAUUAAAUUUAUGUCGCUAAAGCUCUUUGAUCAA